UGCUCUUGACGGGGUCGUGAGAGUGUAGAGGGGCCAUUGAGGAGGCUUUCCUCCUUGUCUGAUCUUGAUCGAUCGGGCUUUUGUUUGUGUCAGGAUGAGGUUCUCCUCUUAUUUUCGACAGUCAGUUUCAGCUCAUGUUAGGAUGAGGUUCUCCUUCUGUUCCUAGCAGGGUUGUGGGGGCACGCAAGGGCCGCUCCCCCCAUCC
rnacentral:lncRNA from 1 species